GGCAAAAUGAUUUGCAAAAUUCGAUCUUUGAAUAAAGUACAACGCCUUCGGAAUGACGUAAACAUAAGCCUGGCACCGAAAUAAACGAAAACUGAGAGAUUAAAACUGACAAGAUCGAGUUCGAGCGAGAGAGAACGAGAGACACGGGGCCCCAUAUCCGAUCGCGAUUUCACCACCGUCGCUGGCGCCCAUAAACCUUGAUUCAUGCCGAAUAGGCAGACAAUAAAGUGAGUACUUCAGAUUCAGAUAACGUUCUAUAUUCUCUAUCUUCGCUCUGGAGCUACCGGUUAAACUACAAGCGGCAAGAACUCGAUUCUAUGGCAGCUACUGAAAUGUUGGCGCUCGGGGCUUCAGCUGAUAUGACAAGUGGCAUAUUAUUUGCACUGUGAUGUUGAUAGCAUCUGGCGCUUUGUCGCGCCGCGCUAAGUUGACUGGAAAUGGCCUGCUCGCGCCUCACGCUAUCUGUUCGCUUGCCGUUCCAUAUUUCAUCUUCUUAACACGUGCGCCUGCCCAAGUGGAAACAGCCCAAAUGCAAACCUGUUCCGAAAUUCUUGGGAACAGUUCCCGUUGGAACUGUCAUUGCCUAUAUAUUAUAAUUACGUACUAAGCCACAUUGAAAGAGUUCAGCUCUCUUCUGUCUUAAGAUCCGAAUUAAAUAAAUGUACCGCUUAAUAUACUGUAUAUUUUCUAA